UGCGGUACUCUGACCGUGCAAAGGUAGCAUAAUCAUUUGCCUUAUAAUUGAAGGCUAGUAUGAAUGGUUUGACGAGAAUUAAGCUGUCUCUUUUUAACUAAAUAUAACUUUAUUAAGAGGUGAAGAAGCCUGUAUUUUAUUGAAAGACAAGAAGACCCUAUCGAGCUUUAAAGAAUUUAGUAGAUUUACCAUAUAUUAAUAAAAAAGUAAAGCAACUAAAUAUUUUGGUUGGGGCGACUGAGGAACAAACAAAGCUUCCUUUAUGCUAAUUAAAACUUACAAGUAUUGAUCCAAUUUAUUUGAUUAAAGAAAUUAGUUACCGUAGGGAUAACAGCAUAAUCUCCUUUGAGAGUUCUCAUCGAAAAGGGGGUUUGUGACCUCGAUGUUGGACCAGAAUACCCAGAAGAUGCAGCCGUCUUCAAUGGUUGGUCUGUUCGACCAUUAAAAUUCUACGUGAA
rnacentral:rRNA from 1 species